rnacentral:rRNA from 1 species
AUGGAGGUGGUCACGGGUGUCAUGAGAAGCCUGCUCCCCAAACUUGGUGAGCUGCUCAUGGAUGAGUACAACCUUCACAAGCGCGUCAAGAAAGACAUCCGCUUCCUCUCCAGGGAGCUAGAGAGCAUGCACGCUGCCCUCCUCAAGGUUGGUGAGGUGCCACGGGACCAGCUCGACAAACAAGUGAAGCUCUGGGCCGAUGAGGUCAGGGAGCUCUCCUACAACAUGGAGGAUGUUGUCGACAAGUUCCUCGUACGUGUUGUUAGCAAUGACAUUGGUGCCAACUCAGAUGGUUUUGUGAGGCUCAAGAAGAAGAUGGUUAGCUUGUUCAGGAAGGGCAAGAAUCACCAUCGGAUUGCCGACGCGAUAAAGGAUAUCAAAGAGCAAAUCCAGGAGGUGGCUGCUCGGCGUGACAGGAACAAGGUUGAUGGUAUUUCGCUUAAGCAUACAGGGGCAGCAACUAUUGAUCCUCGCGUCCAGGCUCUGUACACUGACAUGACAAAGCUUGUGGGCAUAUAUGGGAAUAGAGAUCAAGAGCUCAUAAAAAUGCUCUCAUUAGGGGAUGAUGACGUCUCUAAGAAGAAACACAAGAUAGUACUCUCAAUUGUUGGGUUUGGAGGAUUGGGCAAGACUACUCUCGCCAAAGCAGUCUACAACAAAAUCAAAGGGGGUUUUCAUCGGCGGGCUUUUGUUUCGGUGGGUCGAAAUGCCAAUGUGAAGAAGGUUUUCAGAGACAUCCUCAUUGAUCUUGGCAAGUCUAACUCAAAGAUCCUGACAUUAGAUGAAAGACAGCUUAUUGACGAGAUUCUGAAAUGCUUCAAGAACAAGAGGUACCUUGUUGUAAUAGAUGAUAUAUGGGAUACAAAUCUAUGGGAAAAGUAG